UCUAUUCACUUUUCUACUCUCUCCGACUCUUCUCUCUCCUUUCAACCGUGAAUUUCAGGUGCCGCCAGAGCUAACUUGGGUUCCAUUUCAAAACCUUCAGAAUCGAUUUUCCGUAAUUUCCGCCAUUGUUUCUCCUCUCUCGCAGUCUGGUUGAUAUCGAGGGUUCUAUUCCAUCUCAGCUUUCACCAGCUUCGAACUCGUACUUAGGUUUCUCUAAGUAUGGAAGAUAUGUUGUAUAGUUGCGCUAAUAAUGAAAUAAUGGAUGAGGAUGUGGAACAAAGUGUUCCACGCAAAAGAAAGAGGAAGGCAGCAGUAUGAGAUAAUUUUGAAGUAAAAGUGAUCAAGGGGGAAGAGAAUGCCUGAAUCGCCUCUUGCUCGUCACUUUGGCCAUCAAAUUUGAUGGAAUAAGCUUUCUGAACUUGAAUUUGAUGGAAUAAGCUUUCUGAACUUGCUUUGACUGUGCUGAAAUUGAUACCUAUUUAGAUAUGCCCACCUCUUAGAAAUUUUCAUUAGUAGUGAUUGAACUAUCCAAAUGAAAAGAAUAGAAAAGGCUAAGUUAGCUGCUGUCACUACUUGUUUGAAUUGUUUGCUGCAUAGAUUAGUUUUAAAUAUUGGUUAUAGGAAGAGGUGAGGGUGAUGAAACAGAAAAAAACCCACAUUCAGGUUUGCUUCCAUCAAUUCCUGAGCUUGAGCUUGAGCUUGAGUUUCAGUUCUUGAUGGGAUUCAAGUUACAUGUGAAUGUGAGUGUGUUUGAGAGCUACUGUUGUCAUUUAGAAAAGAGAAGUCAGUAUUGGAGGAGGCUAUCAAAUUGAGAGCGCAUUGAGAUGUGCAGAAGAAAUCAAAACAAGACAAGAUGAAGAUAGAAGAUAUAACCAGUGUGUUGGUGUUUUGUUGUAGAUCAAAUCAAGGAAAUUUCUCUUUCUUUCUUUUUUUUUUGGUGGGAUUUUAUCCUAGUAAUUCAUUUGUACAGGUUGAUGUAAAUUUGUGUAAAUGUACAAAGUUGUUGCA